CCUACGGGUGGCAGCAGUGGGGAAUAUUGCACAAUGGGCGAAACCCUGAUGCAGCGACGCCGCGUGAGUGAAGAAGUAUUUCGGUAUGUAAAGCUCUAUCAGCAGGGAAGAAAAUUACGGUACCUGACUAAGAAGCCCCGGCAAACUACGGCCCAGCAGCCGCGGUAAUACGUCGGGGGCAAGCGUUAGCGGGAUUUACUGGGGGGAACGGGAGCGUAGACGGCCAGACAAGUCAGAAGUGAAAGCCCAGGGGUAAACCGGGGGACUGCGUUUGAAACUGCCAGGCUGGAGUGCAGGAGAGGUAAGGGGAAUGCAUGGUGUAGCGGUGAAAUGGGUAGAUAUUGGGAGGAAAAC
rnacentral:rRNA from 1 species